CUAAAAUUCACUCCAGUUUAACAAACGAUCAAUUUUAAAUAAUUACUAGCUGCUCUUUUGAUUUAGAGAGGAAAAAGGAGAAAAUAUGCAUCAUCAUUUGGAGACGACGACAAAUCAACCACUUUGUCCUAAGCCACGUCGUGUGUGUCCUUCUCUUCCUGAUUUUCUCAAGCCUCUCUCAAGUUCACUACACUCUUCCAACUGUCAACAAAGUUCGGAGGGAAGAAGCGGCAUUCUCAACAUAAUUGAUAAGCCGAUAGAAGGUGGAACAAUAGAGUGGUAUACAGGGUCACCACCUAAGAGAACCAGGAAUCCUCUUGUCCACGACCUUCAUUUCGUUCACUGCCAUGACCUUCUCCCCAAUUUCCCAAGCACCAAGGCUUGAUCUUCACAUCUUUGUAGACGAUUUAUGCAUACACAACCGUACAAACAAACAAACAAAAAGAAAAGAAAAACUUUAAACUGGUCGCUCAUGCUUUGCACCAACAAGUUUGAAGUUUAUUCUUUGA